GCCUAUGGCCAUGCUACCCUGAACAAGCUUGAUCCUGUCUGAUCUCAGAAGCUAAGCAGGGUUGGGCUUGGUUAGUACUUGGAUGAGAGACUACUUAAGAAGACCAGGUGCUGUAGGUG
rnacentral:rRNA from 1 species